CAUAGGAUCUUGACGCAAAGGGACUAGAAAACAGGCCCAGAGGGGCCACCUGCCUUGGUGGAGUCACACAGACUGAGCCACCCAUCUAGGUUAACAGGGGCUGGGGCUGAGGAGUUAGUGUUUCAUGGGUGUCGAGUUUCUGUUUGGGAAGAUUGAAAAGCGUUCCAGAGACGGAUGGUGGUGAUGCCUGCACAACAAUCUCAGAGCACCAGCACCGGACCCGCACUGGAGCAGCAGAACAGGAGACUAAAAGUCCAGUAGAAACCCUGGCAUUCCGACCAGACGGACCACGAAAGGAAAGGGCUCCCCACUCUCUGCAGAGUGGGAAGAUGGAGGCAGACCUAGAAGAGACAGAGCUGGAGAAAGGGGGUCCCUGAUUAUGUGGGUGACCUGGGGUGACCACCAUAUCACUGUCUGCCCAGGACUUUCUCGGAUUUACUGCUGAGAGUCUCACAUCCUGGGAAACUCCUUAGUCCCAAACAAACUGGGAUGGUUGGACUCCCUAGAAUGAAUUCACACAAGUCUUGGGCUCCCCCCGAACUGCAUGUGCAGGAGACAAACCCAGACCAGCCUAACAAAAACUCUGAAAACUGACCCAAGUUUGGAAAUGCCACUCAUAGAAGAUGAAACAGAAUUUCUGGCCUGAAACUGAGCAGGCUGACUGCCUCCUGAAACCAAACAAACCCACCUUCUCCGGGGAAUUGUAACAGGACUAAGAAUCUACACAACACACUAUUCACAAUGUCCAGUACACAAUCCAAGAUCGUUCGCCAUACAGUGGCCAAUGCUCAAAGGAAAAGACGCUCAGCAGAUGCCAACCCUGAGAGGACCCGAUACUGGAAUUUUCAGAAAAAGCAGCCAUUACAACUGUGCUCCAUGAGGUCAAGGUAAACACACUUGGCCAGACGCUGUGGCCUCCUCACAGGAGGGUGCAGUGAGCUGUGAUUGAAACACUGCACUCCAGCCUGGGCUACAGAGUGAGACCUUGUCCUCCCCAAAAGGGAGAAGUGGCAUGUGACAAACUUUCCGUGCCUCCAUUUCCUCAUCUGUAAAGUGAAGAUAAAUCACAGUAAUAAUCAUUUUUAGAGAGGCGAACAUGGCUGGGUGCGGUGGCACAUGCCUGUAAUCCCAGCACUUUGGGAGGCCGAGGCGGGUGGGUCA